AUACUGUGGCAGUUUUGAAGGCAUACUUUUUUUUGUUAAAAUUAACAUGGCAACUUGUUCCAACUAAUUUUUGGUUUUGUGGACGUUGCGAAGUUAUGUGGCUGGUGUAUUAUAUAUUUUUGGAAAGCUGAAAGGCUCAUCUACAAGACCAGCUGAUCCACCUUUGAAAUAAUGCAAAGACUAAAGGAGCUUGCAAAGUAAUGCUAAUAUGCAGUUAAAGAUAUAACUAGCUAUCUAAGCUACUUUAGCAGUGCUGUGGUCUGUUUUGUGACAGAUUGGGUUUCUUCACCAGACAUCAGAUGGAUUAACUCCUUGGCUGUAUUUGCUCUUUUCCGCACAUUCCUUUCACAUGUUUCAUCAGAAGACUUGCGAGGAAUUCUAAUGGGUGUUAUUGUCAAUGGCUAAAAUAUGGAACAUAUGUUAUUAAUUUGUUUUAUGUAAAAUGUAAUAUUACUAUUAAAAUUAUCAUAUUGUUACAGACAA